UACGUAGGGGGCAAACGUUGUCCGGAAUCAUUGGGCGUAAAGCGCGUGUAGGCGGCCCGGUAAGUCCGCUGUGAAAGUCGGGGGCUCAACCCUCGAAUGCCGGUGGAUACUGUCGGGCUAGAGUGCGGGAGAGGAGAGUGGAAUUCCCGGUGUAGCGGUGAAAUGCGCAGAUAUCGGGAAGAACACCCGUGGCGAAGGCGGCUCUCUGGGACGGUACUGACGCUGAGACGCGAAAGCGUGGGGAGCGAACAGG
rnacentral:rRNA from 1 species